rnacentral:rRNA from 1 species
GACGAACGCUGGCGGCGUGCUUAACACAUGCAAGUCGAACGGAAAGGCCCUGCUUUUGUGGGGUGCUCGAGUGGCGAACAGGUGAGUAACACGCGAGUAACCUGCCCUUGACUUUGGGAUAACUUCAGGAAACUGGGGCUAAUACCGGAUAGGAGCUCCUGCUGCAUGGUGGGGGUUGGAAAGUUUCGGCGGUUUGGGAUGGACUCGCGGCCUAUCAGCUUGUUGGUGGGGUAGUGGCUUACCAAGGCUUGGACGGGUAGCCGGCCUGAGAGGGUGACCGGCCACAUAGGGACUGGGAUACGACCAAGACUCAUACGGGGGGCAGCAGUGAGAGAUAGUGCGAGAUGGGCGGAAGCCUGAUGCAGCAACGCCGCGUGCGGGAUGACGGCCUUCGGGGUGGAAACCGCUUUCGCCUGUGACGAAGCGUGAGUGACGGUAAUUGGUAAAGAAGCACCGGCUAACUACGUG